rnacentral:rRNA from 1 species
UACGUAGGGUGCAAGCGUUGUCCGGAAUUAUUGGGCGUAAAGAGCUCGUAGGCGGUUUGUCGCGUCGAAUGUGAAAUCCCGGGGCUCAACCCCGGGUCUGCAUUCGAUACGGGCAGACUAGAGUUCGGUAGGGGAGUCUGGAAUUCCUGGUGUAGCGGUGAAAUGCGCAGAUAUCAGGAGGAACACCGGUGGCGAAGGCGGGACUCUGGGCCGAUACUGACGCUGAGGAGCGAAAGCGUGGGGAGCGAACAGG